CUGAUGUUUGCUGGUGAGCUCGCACAGGACGGAUGCAAACAUGGCCGCACUUGAAGGAGCUGGUUCUCCUCGGUAUUUUCAGGGAGACAACACUGAAUGUUUAAAUAAAAAUGACAGGAAUCGUGUGUUUUAGCUUCGCAGUCACCAGAUCUCAGCCCAUUUGAACACACAUGGAAGAUUCUGGACCGACGUGUUGGUCAGCUCUCUUCACCAGCAUCCUGAAAACACCAAAUGAAUGUUUUUAAAAAAUGGUGUUCUAUUCCUCCAAACACUCACUGAAGUGCUUUAUGUUUCUUUUAAUUUAUUAGCUGUCUGCACUGAUAAAGUCAAAGUAUCGACUACUACUGAUGUAAACAACGGGAGCAACUGUUGCACUGAGCCCAAGAACAAUAAACGGCUUUCACAACAGAUUUAUAAGGAGGAUGUAAAAAGUUAAUGAAACUUUGUGUUUAUCGUUUAGAGAGGCUCUUUUUAUAUCAGGUAAUGAUUGCUUUCCCUUCAAAGUGGUAAAAGUAUUUUCUGUACACUUAUAAGGAGCUCUAGUUUAAUUGCAGAUUAACACAAAUGAGCGUCCACGUAUCUCACCUCUUUAAACGCCUGCCUUGAUGAGGAUUAUCCAGAUAAUAAAGUCGGCUGAUAUUGAUGGCGGAGAAUAAAAUGAACAUAUCUGGACAAGCAGCAUGCAAAUGAACACCACAGUUAUCUCACAUAGCGUAUAUGGCUUGUGUGAAAUAAAUCUAAAUAUAAGAAUAAAACUUGCUUUUAAGGUGAGACACUACAAAGACAAACAUGUUUUCUCAUACACUGGUCAAUUUUGAGAGUUUAUGUAUAUUUUGCUUCCGUAACGUGCACAAAAUACACGUUUAUUUUACUGCGCUUUUGUCUGUUGCACAUUUAUGCAAAUUACAACACAUUUACUGGAAAGGUGCAUCAUUUGCACAUGUCUACAUAAAAUUACUGUUGUCCAAAAAUAUUGUGUAGAUGUAAAUAAUCAAAUGGAAAAGUUUUACGGUGAUAUCUAUUAAGUGGAAUUUUUACCUGUAAACAAUGUUUUCCAAUAAAGAUCUAUGGAUUUUCAUAAAACA